AACGAACGCUGGCGGCAUGCCUAACACAUGCAAGUCGAACGAAGGCUUCGGCCUUAGUGGCGCACGGGUGCGUAACGCGUGGGAAUCUGCCCUUUGGUUCGGAAUAACAGCUGGAAACGGCUGCUAAUACCGGAUGAUGACGAAAGUCCAAAGAUUUAUCGCCAGAGGAUGAGCCCGCGUUGGAUUAGGUAGUUGGUGGGGUAAAGGCCUACCAAGCCGACGAUCCAUAGCUGGUCUGAGAGGAUGAUCAGCCACACUGGGACUGAGACACGGCCCAGACUCAUACGGGAGGCAGCAGUGGGGAAUAUUGGACAAUGGGCGCAAGCCUGAUACAGCAAUGCCGCGUGAGUGAUGAAGGCCCUAGGGUUGUAAAGCUCUUUUACCCGGGAAGAUAAUGACUGUACCGGGAGAAUAAGCCCCGGCUAACUCCGUG
rnacentral:rRNA from 1 species